UACGUAGGGGGCAAGCGUUGUCCGGAAUUAUUGGGCGUAAAGGGCUCGUAGGCGGUUUCUUAAGUCUGAUGUGAAUGCCCACAGCUCAACUGUGGAGGGUCAUUGGAAACUGGGGAACUUGAGUGCAGAAGAGGAGAGUGGAAUUCCACGUGUAGCGGUGAAAUGCGUAGAUAUGUGGAGGAACACCAGUGGCGAAGGCGACUCUCUGGUCUGUAACUGACGCUGAGGAGCGAAAGCGUGGGGAGCAAACAGG
rnacentral:rRNA from 1 species